rnacentral:tRNA from 1 species
GGAAAAAUAGUUUCAUGGUUAAAGCACAUGACUGGAAGUCAGGAGAUGUGGGUUUUAUUCCCAGCUUUACCA